AGGAAAUCAUGGCCACAGGGACGAGUCAUGUGAGAACACAAGUUUCUAGCCCAGGUUUUGGUCAUUCAAAAUUCCUCUAGAAAUGAGAGAGAGAGAGAGAGAGAGAGAGAGAGAGAGAGAGAGAGAGAUGCUAUUAAUGGUCCAUUAAUACUCAUUAACUUUGAGACUCUUAAACCUAAUUAUAAAAGAACAGUUUGUGCCUGCUCACAUAACCAACCAAAAAGCAUACUUAGAAUGUCUGUUUCCAUGUUUCAGUUUUGCUGAAAUGCAUGAGAGUGGGAUGAACAGAUGCCUGGGAUAGACCCUCACAAAGAAACCUGAACAGAUGCCUGGGAUAGACCCUUACAAAGAAAUCUGAACAGAUGGAUGGGAUAGAUUCCUAUGAAGAACCCCCUGGGGCCUGCAGUGCUUAAGACAGAGGGUGAGGCCAAGCCAAUGGUGGAGUGGCCCAUGAGAGCCUGAGCCAGCAUAAAGCCACCUUGGAUCAACCUUAGUCACUUCAAAUCUGGUCUCGUGGAGCCACCUGAAAGUGACAGCCAUAAAGAACAACGGGAAAAUCUGAAAAGGGAAAAAGAUGUGAUCAAGCCUGCAACUUCCCAGGCACUUUACCUGUCUCCUUGCAGGAGUCCGGGGUGCCUUGUACAGCCCUGGGAGGGAGCCAUUACAGAACUGCAGAAAAGAGAGAGUCAGCAAGGGAGUUGUUGGGUGGGUGCGACUCUGCCUGCAGGGGAGCUCUUCUGCCUCCAGAGCCCCAGCCCGCUGCUGAGAGGAGCUGCCUGGACAGAGCAUCUCUGAGGCCCGAGGUGCUGGGACUGCACACAGUGAGUUCUUUCCUAAGCUCUCGAGAGGACCAGAUUUUAGACUGUAACCUCUGAUUUAAAGCACGAAGGUGUUCCUGCUGCUUAGGUUGCUGGGUCUUGAUUUGUUUUUGGUAAACAGAGGGCACUGGCUUAUGUCCAUCCUCAAAGCUGCUUUGUCCUAGGGUGCCCGUUGCCAUAGUUAACGUGAG
rnacentral:lncRNA from 1 species